rnacentral:rRNA from 1 species
CGAGCGGCGGACGGGUGAGUAAUGUAUGGGGAUCUGCCCGAUAGAGGGGGAUAACUACUGGAAACGGUGGCUAAUACCGCAUAAUCUCUUAGGAGCAAAGCAGGGGACCUUAGGGCCUUGCGCUGUCGGAUGAACCCAUAUGGGAUUAGCUAGUAGGUAAGGUAAUGGCUUACCUAGGCGACGAUCCCUAGCUGGUCUGAGAGGAUGAUCAGCCACACUGGGA